AUUGAACGCUGGCGGCAGGCCUAACACAUGCAAGUCGAACGAGUGGCGGACGGGUGAGUAAUGUCUGGGAAACUGCCCGAUGGAGGGGGAUAACUACUGGCAACGGUAGCUAAUACCGCAUACCAUCGGAUGGCCCCCGAUGGGAUUAGCUAGUAGGUGGGGGAACGGCUCACCUGGGCGACGAUCCCUAGCUGGUCUGAGAGGAUGCCCACCCGCACUGGAGCGGAGACACGGUCCAGACUCCUACGAGAGGGAGCAGGGGGGAAUAUGGCACAGUGGGGGCAAGCAUGAUGCAACCAGGCCGCGUGUAUGAAGAAGGCGUUCGGGUUGUAAAGUACGUUCAGCGAGGAGGCGUUAGUCGCAGAAGAAGCACCGGCUAACUCCGUGCCAGCAGCCGCGGUAAUUC
rnacentral:rRNA from 1 species